CUUUAUUGUUUAUUGUAUGCAUAACAAGUAAUUCCAAUGACUGAAAAUUGUUGUUAUUAGCCUAAUAUUGCAUGAGAAAGUUGAAAUUAGAAGUCAAAUAACGAACUAGAAGGAGCUCAGCGCUGCACGCCCUAAAAUCAGAAUAAUUCAUUGAAAAGACCGUACCUGCAGAUGAGGAUAAUCUACUUUCAAGAAGUUCACGCGAGAUUUGAUUCGUGUUAUUGUCUCGACAUCGAAACUCGUACUUAAAGAAAAUUAACUCGUACUCCUUCCUGUUUCACCAAAAUUUCUUAGAUGAAUGUACAUAACGAGUGAUCAAAUAACUGUGCGUUUUGGACCAUGCUCAUACACUGAAUUCUACAUCUCUGAAAACUUUACAAAUACAACUGAAAAUAUGCCAAAUUCAAUGCUUGAAAAAUGCUGUUGGAGAUGGUUACUGCAUAAUUUGCCUAUGUUUAUGAUAUAUCUAUGAGGCCUUGCAAAUUUAUGGUAAUGCAGUUAUGGAUUAGUGGUAUACUGCUGUGAUAGAUUUAAAUAUACAAUUACCUCACGCGGAUGGAUAAAACAAAUGUGUGGAGACCAUAAUUGCUUUAAUCAACAAGAUUUGUUUCUACGACAGCGCGAACAUUUCUUGCAGUAUGUGUUCCCAUGAGAAAAUAUUUUCAAUUAAAGUGAUGGAGGAAAAACAAGCACAAUGUAAUUCAUACUGUAUUAUUCAGACUGCAAUUUUGAAUUUAUGAGUGGAAAAUUGUAAUAUUUUGACAUUUCUUUCCAAGUGAAAUUCGGAAACUAAAACGUGAUUGCUGAAAGAACUUUACUUUUGCUACCCUUCCUCGUUGACUGACAAAUACGAGAAUUUGUGUUUUGCGAAUGACGAUAAUCGGAUUAACAGAAUAUCAACACUUUUAUGAUUACUUAAAAUUUCUUCAACUAACGAAGUAUCUCUUACGGAUAAUGUAAAGUUACAUGUAUGCAGACAUAUGCGAGGCAUCUACUCACGAAUGACACUCAUAUCCGUUUCUUUGUUGGUAAGCCACAUCGCGAUAUCGAUUGGGCCAUGUAAAUUUGGGUAAAUUAUUGAUUACGACCAACUAAACAAUUCUAUACCUUUUAUAAAGUAGAAUUACGUGUAUUGUGUAGACGACAUUCAUUUCACUGUUAACGAACGUAUUCUAUGGGUAUGUGGAAAUGUUAUCUGUAUAUAUAAAAUACCUGGAGUAUUAACUAUAGUCUCUCAAAUUUACCUUAAAACAUCUUGUUAACAAAUGUAUGCUGUUAAAGAAAUCGACCGGAUAGUGGGAAUUCCAGGAUUGUCAUUACCAUCACCUGUUAAACGUCCUAUCUUUUGAAGGUUUUCAUAUCGUCUGUUGAGAUUUUCAAUGAAUUCGAAAGGAAAUUAUGAGAUUACUAUUUCCUAUGUGAAAGAAACCAGAAUGAUGAAUUGAGCAAAAUAAAGGAAGGCAGAAUUAAAUUUUACAUGCUUGUAUAAGUAACUAUAGUAAAAAUUUUAGAUUGGCUGAAAAAAAUAUACGACGUUGAACAUAUUUAUGUUAUGAACUCACAUUAUGCAUGGGCGGGGAAAAAUGUUUAUAAAAGGUUUGAAUAUCUUUGCAUAUAUUGCAAUAUACAAUUAUAAUGAAUAUACAUGAAAAACUUUCGCAAUUCCGUUUAAAUUCAGAGAAAGGAAACUUUAUCUUUCUAAAACUAAAGAGUGAAAUUUUGUCGAAUUCGGUUCCAGUGAGACAUUUGUAGAAAAUAUUGUUGUGUUCUAAAUUGUUUUAGAAAGAAAUGGUUUUUAAAGCGAAUAUUUUUUUAUUUAUUGAUGAAAUUUCUUCAUGUAUACUAUUUCUUCAUGUAUACGUAAGCAGUUGCGUAACUUUUUAUUGGAAAAACUUUAUAAUGUUGUAUUAGUAACUACUAAUUAUUAAAUGAAUUUAUGUAGUUUACGUCCGUUUUGGAAACCAUUUUGUAAAUGAAAAAGAUUCCUGAUUAAAUACUACUACCGUGCAAUUCUGAGUUUCCAUUUUUCAGUAACAACAAUCAGUAAGAACUUCACUU